GAGGGUAUAGCUCAGUGAUAGAGUGCAUGCUUUAGCAUGUAUAAGGUCAUGGGUUCGAUCCCCAGUACCUCUG
rnacentral:tRNA from 1 species